ACCGGCAGCUCAAGUGGUGGCCAUUAUUAUUGGGCCUAAAGCGUUCGUAGCCGGUUUGAUAAGUCUCUGGUGAAAUCCCGCGGCUCAACUGUGGGACUUGCUGGAGAUACUAUCAGACUGGAGGUCGGGAGAGGAUAGGGGUAUUCCCAGGGUAGGGGUGAAAUCCUAUGAUCCUGGGAGGACCACCGGUGGCGAAGGCGCCUAACUGGAACGAACCUGACGGUGAGUAACGAAAGCCAGGGGCGCGAACGG
rnacentral:rRNA from 1 species